GAUGAACGCUGGCGGCGUGCUUAACACAUGCAAGUCGAACGAUGAAGCCCAGCUUGCUGGGUGGAUUAGUGGCGAACGGGUGAGUAACACGUGAGUAACCUGCCCUUGACUCUGGGAUAAGCCUGGGAAACUGGGUCUAAUACUGGAUAUGACUUCUCAUCGCAUGGUGGGGGGUGGAAAGAUUUAUUGGUCUUGGAUGGACUCGCGGCCUAUCAGCUUGUUGGUGAGGUAAUGGCUCACCAAGGCGACGACGGGUAGCCGGCCUGAGAGGGUGACCGGCCACACUGGGACUGAGACACGGCCCAGACUCCUACGGGAGGCAGCAGUGGGGAAUAUUGCACAAUGGGCGCAAGCCUGAUGCAGCGACGCCGCGUGAGGGAUGACGGCCUUCGGGUUGUAAACCUCUUUCGGUAGGGAAGAAGCGAGAGUGACGGUACCUGCAGAAGAAGCGCCGGCUAACUACGUG
rnacentral:rRNA from 1 species